AUCUCACUGAAUUGGUGUGCUCCUUCACACAAAAUGUCUUGCCAACCCCAGUGAGACCCAGCAGCCCCUAGCACUGUUUUUGGGUCUUGUGCCUAUCAAGUCUCUGGUCAGCACUGUCAGAGGAGCAGAAGAAGGAGAAUCUCCAUGUUGGUGGACUCUGCGGUUGAGGAUUUGUUGCAGACUGGGAGACAUGCAUUCUGUUUGCAAGCUGACAAAGUCUGUUCUACAUUCUGCUCCCAGCUACGUGACCAGGUUGUCUCUGUGCUAGGAAAAGAAAGCCACAAAAAUCCGACUCAAGAGCAGCAUGUAGGCUCCGUGCUCAAAGAGUUGAUAAAAACUUUUGGAUGUUAGGCUUAACACCUUCUUCACCCCAGCGGUUUCAUGCCAGCGAUAUUUCAAAGUGAUUCAAGAGCUCUUUUUUCCAGUGAACAGUGCUUAAAAGAUAGCAGGCUGCAAUGAGGAUUGUAACAGUGCUGUAACUAUUCUCAGGAAACUAUCAUUUGGGAAAGUCCUGGGAGAUAUCUUGGAGCUGAUUUGUGUUGUUCCCCAGUAAGGAGCAGAAGACACCUGCCAUUUAGUUAAAUGCCUUAUCUUGGCCUAUUUGGGAACCUCGUUUCAGAUGAAAGUGUCUAUGCUAAUCAAACAAAAUACUAUCAAAAGUGGUCCAGAUGAGAGUGAUAGCUUUAAAAAAAGCACUUUAAAAUGCUUGCGAUUUAUAGUUUUGUGUUAAAUCAGCUUAGCAUUCAUGAAAUAAAAGUGUUGACUACUUGCUGACAUUUUGUGUUUUUCUGAAGAUGAAGCUCAAAUACGAGGGCAGUAUGGGCCC
ensembl:lncRNA